rnacentral:rRNA from 1 species
UACGAGGGGUGCAAGCGUUGCUCGGAAUUAUUGGGCGUAAAGGGUAGGUAGGUGGUCUCAUUUGGUCAGGGGUGAAAGCCUUGGGCUUAACUCAAGAAGUGCCCCUGAAACGGUGAGACUCGAGUACUGGAGAGGGUCGUGGAAUUCCCGGUGGUAGCGGUGAAAUGCGUAGAGAUCGGGAGGAACACCAGAGGCGAAGGCGGCGACCUGGACAGUUACUGACACUCAACUACGAAAGCGUGGGGAGCAA